GAAAUCAUACUAUACAGAAUCAUUUCUGUAGUGUGUAUUUCGCGAUCCCAACCAAUGUUCGACUUUCUCUAAACCGCGGC
rnacentral:snoRNA from 1 species